rnacentral:rRNA from 1 species
UGACAUACCUAUACGUUGCCUCGGCGGAUCAGCCCGCGCCCCGUAAAAAGGGACGGCCCGCCCGAGGACCCCUAAACUCUGUUUUUAGUGGAACUUCUGAGUAAAACAAACAAAUAAAUCAAAACUUUCAACAACGGAUCUCUUGGUUCUGGCAUCGAUGAAGAACGCAGCAAAAUGCGAUAAGUAAUGUGAAUUGCAGAAUUCAGUGAAUCAUCGAAUCUUUGAACGCACAUUGCGCCCGCCAGUAUUCUGGCGGGCAUGCCUGUUCGAGCGUCAUUUCAACCCUCAAGCUCAGCUUGGUGUUGGGACUCGCGGUAACCCGCGUUCCCCAAAUCGAUUGGCGGUCACGUCGAGCUUCCAUAGCGUAGUAAUCAUACACCUCGUUACUGGUAAUCGUCGCGGCCACGCCGUAAAACCCCAACUUCUGAAUGUUGACCUCGGAUCAGGUAGGAAUACCCGCUGAACUUAAGCAUAUCA